GACGAACGCUGGCGGCGUGCUUAACACAUGCAAGUCGAACGGAAAGGCCCUGCUUUUGUGGGGUGCUCGAGUGGCGAACGGGUGAGUAACACGUGAGUAACCUGCCCUUGACUUUGGGAUAACUUCAGGAAACUGGGGCUAAUACCGGAUAGGAGCUCCUGCUGCAUGGUGGGGGUUGGAAAGUUUCGGCGGUUGGGGAUGGACUCGCGGCUUAUCAGCUUGUUGGUGGGGUAGUGGCUUACCAAGGCUUUGACGGGUAGCCGGCCUGAGAGGGUGACCGGCCACAUUGGGACUGAGAUACGGCGCAGACUCCUACGGGAGGCAGCGGUGGGGAAUAUUGCACAAUGGGAGGAAGCCUGAUGCAGCGACGCCGCGUGCGGGAUGACGGCCUUCGGGUUGUGAACCGCUUUCGCCUGUGACGAAGCGUGAGUGACGGUAAUGGGUAAAGAAGCACCGGCUAACUACGUG
rnacentral:rRNA from 1 species